rnacentral:lncRNA from 12 species
AUGCGAUUGCCACAAAUCUGUCUUGCUGAAGUCGAGCUGCCAGCAGCCCUGCGACGAUCCAGCCAGUACAGUCACGCCGGACAGCCACCUCUGCGCAGCUCCCAGAAAAUUCCCUGGCUUGUCUGCACUAGACUCGGGAGGUGGAAGAGAAGAGGAUCAGCAGCUGGCUCACACACCACCACUCCCCCACCCGGGAGGAGAUCGAGGAGCGUGUGAAGGGAGGACAGAGGGAGAGGAGGAGAGCCUGCCACUCACGGUGCCAAGUCCUGGGCUGGGGGCCGGGAGGUGGCCAGGAGCAAAAUAGAUGUGCCCACGCCUGUGAGGAGCUUGUGGUCUAAAAGAAGCAACAUAUAUACAUCACAGGGUGACAUAAAUAACAAGAAGGCUCAUUAUGUGAUUGCAAAGUAUGGCAUGUUCUAGAAAGAAAAGAAAGAAGGAAAUGAGAGGAGAUGAGGAAAGGUUAUAAAGGGGAAGUGAUUUUUUUUUGAAUUGGGAAAGGGGUCAAAAUGGACAGUUUGAAGAGGAACGUUGGAAGGGAGACCUGAGAGCAGAGGGUGCCGGAUGGAGAAGGCCGGGACAAGCAUGCUAACCGAUGGAACAGCACGAAGGACUCCGAGGUGGGAAGGGGUUUGGACCAUCUGAGGAAUGGAAUAGAGGCUGAUGGAACUGGGGUGCUGUGAACAGCGUAGAUGAGGGCUUGCUGCUGUGAGUCCUUAGAUGUGAACAUAUAAUAUAUUCUCCUCUGGUGAGUGAACCUGCCGUGUGGUGAACGCAGUUGGGAACUGUAUCACUUUAAAAAAAAAAAGUUUUUAUUUAUUUAUUCAGGAGAGACACAGAGAGUGGGGCAGAGACAUAGGUAGAGGGAGAAGCAGGCUCCCUACAGGGAGAUGGGACUUGAUCCCAGGAUCCCGGGAUCACGACCUGAGCCGGAGGCAGAUGCUCAACCACUGAGCCCCCCCAGGUACCUUUAGAAUUGUAUCACUUUUAAAACCCUGUGCAGUUGUGACGGGCCUAGAUUUGAAUCCUGCCUUGCUUACUUCUCAGCUGGGUAGGAAUUUUUGCUUAAUUCUUAGAACUUGGCUCCCCUCCCUGUCAGGUGGAGCUAAUGCCACUUGCUUCAGAGAAUGGGGCUCUGAGUUGGUUGGAAAAAGGUGUGGGAUGUGCCUGGUGUGGUGUCCGGCACACGGGAGGGGGGACCCUCAUCAACUGGGAGCUAGUGUUCCUGUUUCAAAAAUCUGCCUUCAUCCUCAACAGGGGACCUCUGUGUCCAAAAUAAAAGGGCUUUCGUGCUGCA